UGACUAGGAGGUUUGACUAGGAGGGGUGUAGUGUGUGUGUUUGACUAGGAGGGGCUUAGUGUGUGUGUUUGACUAGGAAAGGUGUAGUGUGUGUGUUUGACUAGGAGGGGUGUAGUGUGUGUGUUUGACUAGGAGGGGUGUAGUGUGUGUGUUUGACUAGGAGGGGUGUAGUGUGUGUGUUUGACUAGGAGGGGUGUAGUGUGUGUGUUUGACUAGUAGGGGUGUAGUGUGUGUGUUUGACUAGUAGGGGUGUAGUGUGUGUGUUUGACUAGGAGGGGCUUAGUGUGUGUGUUUGACUAGGAGGGGUGUAGUGUGUGUGUUUGACUAGGAGGGGUGUAGUGUGUGUGUUUGACUAGUAGGGGUGUAGUGUGUGUGUUUGACAAGGAGGGGUGUAGUGUGUGUGUUUGACUAGGAGGGGUGUAGUGUGUGUGUUUGACUAGGAGGGGUGUAGUGUGUGUGUUUGACUAGUAGGGGUGUAGUGUGUGUGUUUGACUAGGAGGGGCUUAGUGUGUGUGUUUGACUAGGAGGGGUGUAGUGUGUGUGUUUGACUAGAAGGUUUGACUAGGAGGGGUGUAGUGUGUGUGUUUCACUAGGAGGGGUGUAGUGUGUGUGUUUGACUAGGAGGUUUGACUAGGAGGUUUGACUUGGAGGGGUGUAGUGUGUGUGUUUGACUAGGAGGGGCGUAGUGUGUGAGUUUGACUAGAAGGUUUGACUAGGAGGGGUGUAGUGUGUGUGUUUGACUAGGAGGGGUGUAGUGUGUGUGUUUGACUAGGAGGUUUGACUAGGAGGGGUGUAGUGUGUGUGUUUGACUAGGAGGGGCUUAGUGUGUGUGUUUGACUAGGAGGGGCGUAGUGUGUGUGUUUCACUAGAAGGUUUGACUAGGAGGGGUGUAGUGUGUGUGUUUGACUAGGAGGGGUGUAGUGUGUGUGUUUCACUAGGAGGGGUGUAGUGUGUGUGUUUCACUAGGAGGGGUGUAGUGUGUGUGUUUGACUAGAAGGUUUGACUAGGAGGGGUGUAGUGUGUGUGUUUGACUAGGAGGUUUGACUAGGAGGUUUGACUAGGAGGGGUGUAGUGUGUGUGUUUGACUAGGAGGGGCGUAGUGUGUGAGUUUGACUAGGAGGUUUGACUAGGAGGGGUGUAGUGUGUGUAUUUGACUAGGAGGUUUGACUAGGAGGGGUGUAGUGUGUGUGUUUGACUAGGAGGUUUGACUAGGAGGGGUGUAGUGUGUGUGUUUGACUAGGAGGGGCUUAGUGUGUGUGUUUGACUAGGAGGGGUGUAGUGUGUGUGUUUGACUAGGAGGGGUGUAGUGUGUGUGUUUGACUAGGAGGGGUGUAGUGUGUGUGUUUCACUAGGAGGGGUGUAGUGUGUGUGUUUGACUAGGAGGUUUGACUAGGAGGUUUGACUAGGAGGGGUGUAGUGUGUGUGUUUGACUAGGAGGGGCGUAGUGUGUGUGUUUGACUAGGAGGUUUGACUAGGAGGUUUGACUAGGAGGGGUGUAGUGUGUGUGUUUGACUAGGAGGGGCGUAGUGUGUGAGUUUGACUAGAAGGUUUGACUAGGAGGGGCUUAGUGUGUGUGUUUGACUAGGAGGGGUGUAGUGUGUGUGUUUGACUAGGAGGUUUGACUAGGAGGGGUGUAGUGUGUGUGUUUGACUAGUAGGGGUGUAGUGUGUGUGUUUGACUAGGAGGGGUGUAGUGUGUGUGUUUGACUAGGAGGGGUGUAGUGUGUGUGUUUGACUAGGAGGGGUGUAGUGUGUGUGUUUGACUAGGAGGGGUGUAGUGUGUGUGUUUGACUAGGAGGGGUGUAGUGUGUGUGUUUGACUAGGAGGGGUGUAGUGUGUGUGUUUGACUAGGAGGAGUGUAGUGUGUGUGUUUGACUAGGAGGGGUGUAGUGUGUGUGUUUGACUAGGAGGGGUGUAGUGUGUGUGUUUGACUAGGAGGGGUGUAGUGUGUGUGUUU